UGAUGAAACGCACUCUCUCCUCCCUCUCUUCCUCGGGUGUCAGAGGUGCUGCAAGCCCCCGCCCAGCUGCUGCCGUUUCCCCGGGCAGGUGUCUUGGCCCUGACGUCGCGGCUGCGGAAGCCCAGAGUCUCUAGGACUCGACCUGAAAAGAAGUGGAAGAUGGAAAACAGGAAGGAGCCCGGCUCACAGCAGAGAAGCAAACUUCACACACACAUACAGAGAGAGAGAGAGAGAGAGAGAGAGAGAGAGAGAGAGAGAGAGAGAGAGAGAGAGAGGAGACUGACUUUGCCUUAAAUCUUAUUGGCUGGACAACAAAGUAACCCCCUGCAAAGGAACACACACAAAAAAAAUGAGCUUCACACACAAGUCAUCCCUGGGGUAAAAUUGAGCUUCUGGUGGGGAAAAGCAGAGAAAGGAUGUCCUAUCACCAACAUUCAAGGUCUCCACGUCCAUGUCCUUAAACCAGCAACACCAGUAUCUGCCUGCUGGACUUCCCAACCCUUGACUUCAGGAAGUGUUUUCCGUCUCUGUGGAGAGAGUGGAGAAGCGUGUUACAGAGUGACUGUGCAUAAAAGCUGUGCACGGGCAGGAGAGGGGCCCCAGUUCACACAGGACAGCAGGAGCGCCUGUCUGAAGAGAUAACUGUAGUUCUCUUGUCUCAUCAAAGAAACCCAUCUCUGUAACAGAUAGACACCAUUGCGGCAAAUUGCAACUGGUCAAAAUGUGGAGAACACGUGAUCAUGCCUUGUUCAGUCCCGCUGAAUAAACCUGCAACACAAUUCUUGCCCUGAAGGCUCAGGGAACAUUCAAGAACACUGGAUGGAGAGAUUGAUCCUAAGAGUUGGAGGACCAGGAAAUCUACGGUGAAGCUGUCUCCUAGAAAUGAAAGGGAAGCUUCACCCUUGACACCCAACAAUAUGGCUGCCUAAACAAGACCUAACAAGAACACCAGGAAACACGCUAACACAGAUGGAGGAAAUCUCACAGGGCCCCACCCACAGGCAAAGAACUAUAGGCAACUAAGGAAUGAGGAGAGUGGGAGACAUGGCCAGUCCUGAAAGCAUGUACACCCAAGUGACACCAAAUAGACUGAGCAGGUGGGCAGCUGGGAGGUGGCUACGCAGACUCAGUGCCCAGGAUAGACUCUGAAGUCAAGAGAUGGGUGAGUGGAGGCAAUGCUAGCCCUCCAGAAAGGAUGAAGUCUCCUGGUCACAGUUGGCACAAUAUGAGUGAUGACUAAGGGCACAAGUCUUCCCGUCAGACAAACACCCGGACUUCAUACCAGCCUCGUUAUUCCAAUAGCUCUCUUAACCUUUACGAUCUCCGUGGGGCUGUUGUAAAGUGUGCACGAGGUGACAGACAACUCGGACUAUUGCUGUGGAGCCUGGUGGCGCGGAUGCUAGGUCUCUUCCUCUCUCUCCAACUCAGCUGCGGGCUCCUUGAGAGCACAGGUUUGUGCCAAUUCUCUUUGUACAUCCCACUUGGCCAGAAUGCCUAAUUACUUGAAAAGUGUUUGCUGAGGGACUGGAAGGUGGCUCAGUUGGUGAAGUGUUUGCUGUGCAAGCACGAGGACGUGCGUUCAAUCCCCAGGAUCCAGGUAAGAAAGCUGGACACACAUGCUGUAUCCAUCUACGAAAUCCUUAAAGGAUUAACUAAAAUAGUAUAGUUUAAAAAGGCUUCUCACAGCAGCAUGCACCUGGAAUCACAACAUUGGAAGGCAAAGACAAGAGAAUCCUGGGGCUCGCUGGCCAGACAGUCUAGCCAAAUUGGUAAGCUUUGGGUUCCAUGAAAGAGCCUGUCUCAAAACAGAAGGUAGGGUACAACUGAGGAAAAAACUUGGAGUCAACCUCUGGCUGCCACAUGAACAGGGGCACACACACACUGUAAUGAACUGAAGCGACACCAAAAGAUUCCAGCAAAUCCGAAGUAACUUCCUAAUUCCUAAAGUCCCUGGCCAUUGCUCUUACUCACAGUGAGUCUCUGGAGACAUGGGCUGUUCCCGUUGGUGGCUACUGGCCAUGGCCUUGAGGGUAGGUCUGUCAGUCCAUGGGCUACACAGCUCACCGCUGCAGUAGUUGAUGGACUUUCCUUGGGUACUUAUACCUGAGUGUGAUCAUGAAUUAACUCUGGCUGAUUGGCUCCCUGGUGGCUUACUCCAACAAGGACAGGGUUCAAGGGUUCUCUGAUAAGUGCCUCUCCCUAGUUGGGGAAACUCUCCUAAGCCAAGGACUCAAGCUGUCUGUCAUCCGUGGGCACCUGCUGUCUUUGCAGGGUACCCUAAUGACUAUUUUAUAUUUUGUUGUAUAUGUUUUAUUAUUAUAACCAUUUCUCAUUUAUUCUUUUAGAGUUUCAUCUACACACACACACACACACACACACAUUUUGGCCAUAUCUCCUCACCCCCAUUAUCAUCUCAUUCCCUUCUCCCUCUCACUAAACCCCUUUUGUUCCCAGCAAGUCCCCUCCUACUUUUAAACCUUUCUUUCUGGUAUUGCCAUUCAGUUUGGGGCUUUUGGUGACCCACUGUAUUUAAUUAGGGUUGCCCGCAUGAGCCUGGGUGGGGAAUUAUUUACUUGAGCAAGAACAACUUACCAGUGGCUAGACCACUGAGGAACAUGACUCUCUGCCCCAGCAACCAUUAACUGCCUACGGCUCCUCAGGGAGGGGUGGGGCCUUCUGAGCCUCUCCCUUGUCCAUGAUGGGAUGAUUUCACGGUACUCCUUCCCAGCCUUGGCCUCUCCUAUCUUUCCCUCCCCUUUUCUGUAAUGUCCUUAGAGCCUGGGAGAGGGUGAUACAGAUGUCCUGUUUAGCACUCAGGAGUCACUUAUUCUCAGUGCUUUGACCAUUUAGUCUCUAUAUUACGCAUCACCCACUGCAAACAGAAGCUUCUCUAACAAAGGCUGAGGAUAGCACUGAUUUAUGGUAGAAGCAAAUAUUUAGAAGGGGCUUUGAUACUAUGCCCAUCUAGCAGAAUAACAGUUGCCGGCACCUCUCUAGGGCCUAUGACCUCCCUAGCCAUGGGCUUUUGACCAGGUUUAUAGUACCUGGUUUGAAUUCCUCCUCUGGAGCAGGCCUAAAAGCCAACAAGAAAGUGGUUGGUUGUUUUUAUUCUUUGCUCUUUUGGGGGCCCACCACCCAGCUCCCAAAUAAAUGCAUGGCGAUUUGUUCUUUCUUAUGAAUGCCCAGCCGUAGCUUGGCUUAUUUCUAGCCAGCCAUUCUUAAAUUAUCCCAUCUACCUUUUGCCUUUUUCUAUUUCAUCAUAUCUUUUCUUCUUAUUCCACGUCUGGCUGUUGGCUGGGUGGCUGACCCCUAGCAUCCUCCUCUCUUCCUUCUUUCGCUCCUCCUCUUCUCAUUCUUUCCUUCUAUUCUUUUUCUCUGCCUGGCAGCCCUGCCUAUGCCUCUCUCCUGCCUAGCUACUGACUGUUCAACUCUUUACUAGAUCACUCAGGUGUUUUCAGCGGGCAAAGUAACAAAACUUUUCAGAGUUAAACAAAUGCAACAUAAAAGAAUGCAACACUUCUUUGCAUCAUUAAACAAAUAUUCCACCGCAUAAAAGAAUGUGACUCAUCUUUAACCAGUAUUCCACAACAGUCCAGUUACCCUCCACAUAGCCAUGCGGCUACUGGUUGGUGGUGUAACUCUCGGGGUUCACAGCUAGGUAAGACUAUUAAACAGCUUUCCUUCCCUAGCUGCUUGAACGGCACUUAGUACCUUUUAGCACUCUGAGGACUAACUGGAUUUGAUUUCUUUAUGUCCCGCAACAAAAGCAGAUGGUAUAUUCUGCAAUAUGAUCUUAUCAUCUAGUUUUAGUGGACAAUUGAGAUCAAUGGCAAUAGUCUGUAUGGUUUUGGGAACCCUUGGGUCUUCCCUCACUGACAACUCAUGAGGAGAUCUCUUUAUAUUUUUUAUUUAACACAUUUCGAAGUCAGUGCUCAAAACAACAGCAAUUCGUUAAAUCCUCUAAACAACCCAAUGAAAGAUGAUGCUUUUUGUUAGUUCUGAUUUACAUUUGAAGAAACUGAGGCUAGAGGACUAGAGAGAUGGUUCAGUGAUUAAGGGUGAGUACAGCUUUUACAGCAGAGGGAUGUAGUUCAGUUCCCAGCACCCAUGUCAGAUGGCCUGCAACUGCCUGUAACUACAGCUCCAGGGAAUCUGCCACCCUUUUCUGGCUUCCAUGGGCAACUGCACUCACAGGUACAUACUCUGACACAGACACCCAUGCAUACACAUAAUGAACAAUAAAUUUUUCUUAAAAAAAGGGGGGGGCAGAGGCAGGUGGUGGUGGCACAUACCUUUAAUCCCAGCACUUGGGAGACAGAGACAGGUAGAUCUUUGCGAAUCCGAGGCCAGACUGAUCUACAAGAGUGAGUUCCAGGACAGCCAGGGCUGUUACAUAGAGAAACCCUAUCUCAAAAAACAAACAACAAAGAAAGAAAGAAAGAAAGAAAGAAAGAAAGAAAGAAAGAAAGAAAGAAAGAAAGAAAGAAGGAAGGAAGGAAGGAAGGAAGGAAGGAAGGAAGGAA